CCUACGGGUGGCAGCAGUGGGGAAUAUUGCACAAUGGGCGAAACCCUGAUGCAGCGACGCCGCGUGAGUGCAGAAUUCUCUCGGUAUGUUAAGCUCCUUCUGCAGGGAAGUAAAUGACGGUACCUGAUUAAGAAGCCCCGGCUAACUACGUGCCAGCAGCCGCGGUAAUACGUAGGGGGCCAGCGUUAUCCGGAUUUACUGGGUGUAAAGGGAGCGUAGGCGGCGGCGCAAGUCUGAAGUGAAAUGCCGGGGCUUAACCCCGGAACUGCUUGGGAAACUGUGCAGUUAGAGUGCAGGAGAGGUAAGUGGAAUUCGUGGUGUAGCGGUGAAAUGCGUAGAUAUUAGGAAGAACACCAGUGGCGAAGGCAGCUUACUGGACUGUAACUGACGUUGAGGCUCGAAAGCGUGGGGAGCAAACAGGAUUAGAUACCCGGGUAGUC
rnacentral:rRNA from 1 species